rnacentral:rRNA from 1 species
GUAGGGAAUAUUGGACAAUGGGCGAAAGCCUGAUCCAGCAAUGCCGCGUGAGUGAUGAAGGCCUUAGGGUUGUAAAGCUCUUUUACCAGGGAUGAUAAUGACAGUACCUGGAGAAUAAGCUCCGGCUAACUCCGUGCCAGCAGCCGCGGUAAUACGGAGGGAGCUAGCGUUGUUCGGAAUUACUGGGCGUAAAGCGCGCGUAGGCGGCGAUUUAAGUCAGAGGUGAAAGCCCGGGGCUCAACCCCGGAAUAGCCUUUGAGACUGGAUUGCUAGAAUCCUGGAGAGGUGAGUGGAAUUCCGAGUGUAGAGGUGAAAUUCGUAGAUAUUCGGAAGAACACCAGUGGCGAAGGCGGCUCACUGGACAGGUAUUGACGCUGAGAUGCGAAAGCCAGGGUAGCGAACGGGAUUAGAAACCCCUGUAGUCC